CGCCCGUCGCUACUACCGAUUGAAUGGCUUAGUGAGGCGUUCGGACUGGUCCAGGGAGGUGGGCAACUACCACCCAGGACCGGAAAGUUCUCCAAACUUGGUCAUUUAGAGGAAGUAAAAGUCGUAACAAGGUCUCCGUUGGUGAACCAGCGGAGGGAUCAUUA
rnacentral:rRNA from 2 species